rnacentral:lncRNA from 1 species
UUUCCUUCUCUUCUUUUCUUUCUUUCUCUCUCUCUCUCCCUCUCUUUCUCCCUCCCUCUCUCCCUUCCUUCCUUCCCUCCUUCCUUCCUUUCUUUCUAGGAUCGCACUUGCAGCAUAUGGAAGUUCCCAGGCUAGGGGGGUGGAAUUGGAGUGGCAGCUGCCAGCCUACACUACAGCCACAGCUACACCAAAUCUGAGCCACAUCUUCGACCUCACAGAGCAGCUCUCAGAAAUGCCGGAUCGUUAACCCACUGUGCGGAGGACGGAGAUCGAACUUGCCACCAGGCUAUGCAGAGACACCACUGAUUCUGUGGCACCACAGCACAAACCAGGACUAGGGUUUCUAAACCAAUUCUUCCCAGGAGAAAUAUCACAAGAGCAAAGGGAUCUCCAGAAGUUAUCUUUGAGCACAAAAGGGGACAAGGGCAUAAGGAGGAGCGCAGGGCUCCCAAGGACAGUGAUGCUGGGUCCUCCCCUCCAGGUUCAACGUCAAGGCCACUGGCACAAUGUGGGUUUCAUUAAUGGCUCAAAGACAAGAGCUCACAGUUAUAAGUUCAAGAUGUUAUUGAAAAACCCACAUUGUGUUUUUUCAUCCCCACCUACCAUUCCCCCAAGGGUUUUCUUCAGCCAUUUUCUAAAAAUCUUUUACCAUGGUUCCACCCAAGUGGUCAUAUUUCUAAGGAUCUGGGGUAAAGCAUCCUGGGGCCAGUGAAACCCAAACCGGUGUGGUAGAGAGAUGAUGCUAUUUCCUCUGCCUCUCAGGGGGAGAUGGGGUAAAAGCUGUGAACCCGCUAAGUACAUAAGCAGAAUCGUGUGGGUGGCCCCAGAGAGGGACACCUGUUUUGCUACUAAAGGCAGGAUCACAAACAUAAUUUUUCCACUAUACUCUCCUAUUGAGACUCAGCCAGCACUGUAAGCCCAGGGGAAUUUCUAGAGCGAUUUAGAGCAAGAUCUCACAAGGUCUUAAAGACAUACUCUUGGGAAAGCGUCACUGCGUUAAAAGUCUGGAGACAUUCUUCAUCGAUGCAGACUAUUCCUUAGACUAUUCCACUAUGCUGUUCAUUGUUGGGAUUCAAGUCAUUUCCAGUCUCUUCCUAUUAUCAACAA